UCCAGGCAGCCUCCCCUCCGCUCCAGCCGCUGCCGGCUCCGAGCUCUCUGAAAGCCCCUUCAGGCAGUCAGCAUGUCACAGGGCCCAGAAGCCCCUUGCUGGUCCCAUCCAGCCUCAGGCUGCAGCUGUGGUCUCCACCUCUACAUGCAAAUGGCUCCUGCAUGUGCCCAGCCCAGCCCUCUGAGUCUUCAGUCUGCUUGCCGGUCUGCAUCUGGAUGUGGAGUCUGCACUGCGAAUUUCAGUUGUCCAAACCUGCCCUGCUCAUCUCCUUCAAGACCGGCUCCUUCUCAUUGCAGCUGAUGACAACUCCAUCCUUCCAGAUGGUCAAGCCAAAAGCCAGUUCUCUUGUUGCAGCUGCUGCAGGCACAUUGGGAUGGGCACAUUCUAAGGCGAAGCUGAGCUGGGUGCACUGCGGUUGGGAUGAGUAGUUUUCGUGCCACCUGCUAUAAUGGCAGGAGACCCAGGACAUGCUGAGCCUUGGAGCCAAGCCUGAUAACUUGCUUCAGCCACGAAAAACCAACAAACAUUGAAAGCUUUUUCCUUGUUUGAACAACUGGGAUCUGAGUUCAUCUGAAGAACUUGCUGCAAACAUGGAAACUGGAUGGAGACCAGGGGGAGAUGCUAUUUUCCCAUUGCUGCUUGGAUGGGGGGUCUCAUCCAUUCCUUGAGGACAUGCCGAGACCCUGAGCUCACUUUGAGGGGGAGUCAUAUGGCUUCUUAAAACCAGAGUGCUGAACUCUACUUCAUUUUUGCCAAGAAUAAAUUCUCUGUGU